CCUACGGGGUGCAGCAGUGAGGAAUAUUGGUCAAUGGACGAGAGUCUGAACCAGCCAAGUAGCGUGAAGGAUGACUGCCCUAUGGGUUGUAAACUUCUUUUAUAAAGGAAUAAAACGAGGCACGUGUGCCUUUUUGCAUGUACUUUAUGAAUAAGGAUCGGCUAACUCCGUGCCAGCAGCCGCGGUAAUACGGAGGAUCCGAGCGUUAUCCGGAUUUAUUGGGUUUAAAGGGAGCGUAGAUGGGUUGUUAAGUCAGUGGUGAAAGUUUGCGGCUCAACCGUAAAAUUGCAAUUGAUACUGGCAGUCGUGAGUACAGUUGAGGUAGGCGGAAUUCGUGGUGUAGCGGUGAAAUGCUUAGAUAUCACGAAGAACCCCGAUUGCGAAGGCAGCUUACUAAACUGUGACUGACAUUGAUGCUCGAAAGUGUGGGUAUCAAACAGGAUUAGAUACCCCAGUAGUC
rnacentral:rRNA from 1 species